UCCAAAAACUUCCUGGAUUGUCUGUGCACUGCUAUAUUGCUCUCCAAGCAGUUAUCAGGGGAGACUACUGAUAUGAUAUGGACAAGAGCACAUGAACACACCUUUGGGCCAAGCAAUGCUGAACGCAGGUCUUGGAAAUGCAGGCCCUUCGAGGAAUGAAUGCCUUCCAACUAGCUACUAAACUGCCUGCUAACUGUACUUGGACUAAUGUAGCUGUGCCUUCAGACAGACCUAAUGGACACUCAUUCACUUCUUGGUCAUAUUACUCAUGUUAUAGUAUUUUAAUUAAUUGUAUUAUUAUAUUAAUUGUAUUAUUGAUCAUAUUCAUGGGGUACUUAAGGUUAUGUGCUGCCUUAGCCUUUCCCCGAAAGCCAUACUUGUAAAUUCAGCGGCUUACCCCUUUUAUGACCUGCUUUCUCUCUCUCCCCUUAGCAUGAGCAGUGGACCAAGCCAUCGGGCUAACCGCAGCCAGGGCCACCAGCUCAAGUGUCCCGCCGUUCAGUGUAUGGGAAGAAGGGAAGCCUCGGCAAAUCUAAAAACUCAAAAACCCAAAGCCCUGAGAUUCAGCAGCUGAAGCACUGGGAGAGGAAGGGACUGUUAGAGCACUUUCCCUUCACCCUUUUUCUGAGUUCUUGUCACACAGACAGAAAGCAGAAGACAAGAAGUGCAGGCAAUGUGAUGUUUAUUGGGGUUAGUUCCAAGCAAACAUAUCCAUAGCUCUAUACACCAACAGAGUCUCUUCCCCAGUGUUCAGUUCCCAGCUCUGAUGCCGCAGAGCAUUUACCCCAUGUCCCCUUUCCCAGCUCUGACGCUGCAGAGUGUUUACCCCAUGUCCCCCUUCCCAGCUCUGAUGCCGCAGAGGCUUGCCUGUAUCCCUGUUCCCCAUUCCCUAUUCCCAUUUCCCAUUCCCCACCUCUUCCUCAUUAGCAGGCCCAAAUAUACCUGCAGUGCAUGCCCUCGGCCCCACCCCUUACUACUUAUGGUCGUGUUCCGUUUCGGAGGGUUGUGAGUCUAGGGUCUUCGUCCCACCUCUUUUGUAUCCCAUGGGAGGGGGGAGGAGUGAGGUUGUGCUCUGGCCAAGGCUAGGCAUUUCUUUGGCCUUUUAGUGUUUCUUAUGCCUCCCACCCCCAUCCCUCCUUGCCCCACCUAACUGGUUGCUUGACCUUGGCUUGAGAAAGGAGCCAGGCAGCCUUUCAGUGUAUGUUCAUAUAUUACACUCCCACCAUGCCCCAUAACACUUUAGCUCCAUCAUUUAUCUUUUCUCAUUGUACUAAAAGCCCCAUCUGGUUGUGGGAAAUGCAACACACAGUGUCUUUGUUCAUUGUUCUUCACACAUAUUAGAUAUAAGAGUAUCAAAAAGUCAAACCCAAACUUCUAUCUCAGGCUGACAAACAAACCUGUAUACUAACAGGGACUUGCCCAAGAUCCCUCUGCAGCCUAGCCCAGGUCUCCUGAGUCCAGUCCUAUGCUCUGUCCACUAGACUAGCUCAGACAUAUUUCAUUUUGUCCGUUCAAUUUAACGUAUCGCAGCCAGUGUGCCAGGGAUAGCUGUUGUGGGUCUGCUUAAGCAUUUCUAGUCUUGCCCCACUGUGCUCUGGCUUGGUGCUUUCUCUCACUCCCACCUUCUGGGACGAUGUUUUUAGCCUGUCAACAAGACAGAGGAAGCUGGGUCCCAAUGCCAAAAGUGACUGAGACACUGGGAGCCUGGGUCUGCUCUGGGUCCCCAUGGACAUCAGUGACUAAGGUGCUAAGUCACUCAGGUGAGCCAGGCACAGUCCUUCAUCUGGUAGGGUUCUGGGAGAACGGGGCUGGAUCACUGUGAUCCUGGCAUGGAUGGGUGGGCCCAUGAUGGACUGGAAGGGGCAGCCUGUAUUCUGAAGGGAUUUGAGAGACUCUGUUUCUGGAGCCAAGAGGCUACUUCACCCCAUCUCAAGGUGUCACUUAGUCUAGGCAGGUUCUUAUACUGCACUCAUCUCUGAAGCAUCCAUGCAGCAUCCAGUUGGGAAUUAAGGACUGGGACUGACAUCUGUCAUGUGGUGUUUGUUCUCUCAUGCUCUCCAUGUGGCAAAAGCAUGUGGAGGGCGUGUCUUGUUUUGGUAAGGUUUUGUACGUAGAUAGUUACACACACUGCUCUGUGUUUCCAGUAGAGAAAGCAAGUCCAACCCAGGCUCCUGGUCCUUGCAGCGGGAAUGGGGACAUUUGGGACAGGUCUGAGUUUUGUGGGGAGCUCGUUCCACUGUCUGGGGCCAGCCGCCGAGUAAAUUCUGUCUCUUGCACAGCUGAGCUUUACCCUGGUGACAGAGAGAGUCCACUGGGCCAGAGCAGCAGAGCUGUCACCCACGGUCUCGUCCCUGGGCCCAGGCCAUGGAGCGCCUUGAAGAUAAGGGCUGAGUUUCCAUCCAGCCUGUCCUACUGGCUGGCACUUGGGGUCCUAGCCAUAGAUCCUCCCACUCCCUGCCCCAUUGCACGUAGAGAGGGGGAAUCAGAAGUGCAGCCCCUCUUCUCCACUUGUGCCGGGAUCUGCACACUCUAGAUGGCUGUGCAGGGGCUGGCCUUCCCCCCCACCCCACUCCGCUCCCACAUCCCACUGUAUAGAGGCCUUGGGACUAGGGACUCACAAAGGUACUUAGAUGCUGUGACACUCAGGCCCCUUGGCAAAGGGGCCCUUGUUCUUUGCAAACAACUUUCAUCUCAGACCUGACAAACUCACUAUACCAAUCAUGUAUUGCAGGGUAUUUAUCCAUAAGGGGUAACAUGUAAGGUAUCUACAGAAAGCUCGUAACUUGUCAAGGCUCAGAAUCAUUGUGAGAUGUGGGUAAAGUAAUAUUUAAGGAAUAAUGUAACUAUAGUGACAGUUUGCUUGGCCUCAGAGUAAAAGUUAGUCCCCAAGGGGGUAAUGUGCCUUAGUGAUGGCUGUCACCUCUCCCUGGUUAGCUGGUGAUGUAAUGCCAGGCUAAGUUGUAUAGUCUUGCUCCAUCCCAAGACUUUCAAUGGCAAACCCUCAGAGACAACUGCAAACAAUCGAAACCACUUGGAAGUAAAAAAGAAACAUUACAACAGACAAGGGAUUGCCCUGCCUGGGAAUAGAGACAAAAGACUUUUCAGUAUAACAUUGAAGGGGAGAGGCCCCCUGAAUCCAUUCAUUGAGGAGACAUCUUGCUGAAUGGGGGUGUUUCAUGAACGUUUGGAUCCUGGUUCCUGUGACACUAGCCAAUUCUGCAACAGACUGCACUUUUGCGGGGGGAGGGGGGGAGGUAUUUUGCCAGCUAGGAAAGAGAACUAUUGAUAAGUGUGGCCCUAGUUUGCAUUUUAUGGUUUGGUUUUGUAUUGUAACCACUGGUUUCAACUGCUCUCUUGUUUCUAGUGGAAUUCCCUCUUAAAUAAACCUUCUCUUGUUUCACUACAA